rnacentral:rRNA from 1 species
CCUACGGGUGGCAGCAGUCGAGAAUCAUUCACAAUGGGGGAAACCCUGAUGGUGCGACGCCGCGUGGGGGAAUGAAGGUCUUCGGAUUGUAAACCCCUGUCAUGUGGGAGCAAAUUAAAAAGAUGGUACCACAAGAGGAAGAGACGGCUAACUCUGUGCCAGCAGCCGCGGUAAUACAGAGGUCUCAAGCGUUGUUCGGAAUCACUGGGCGUAAAGCGUGCGUAGGCUGUUUCGUAAGUCGUGUGUGAAAGGCGCGGGCUCAACCCGCGGACGGCCCAUGAUACUGCGAGACUAGAGUGAUGGAGGGGGAACCGGAAUGCUCGGUGUCGCAGUGAAAUGCGUAGAUAUCGAGAGGAACACUCGUGGCGAAGGCGGGUUCCUGGACAUUAACUGACGCUGAGGCACGAAGGCCAGGGGAGCGAAAGGGAUUAGAUACCCGAGUAGUC